ACCAUCAAAACCAGGAAGAAACUUGACGCUAGAAGCAGCAGAAUGAGUAACCUGACUAUAGAAGAAGAUCAGGAGUAGUAGCAGAAGAGAGGAAACGUAGUCGUUGGCCAUUUCGUUUGUGUGAUGAUAAAACCAACUUAAAUCCCUUCAAGGACAAUUAUCGAACCUCUUUAUAAUAUAAUACUAAUAAAAACUAUAAAAGUUCCCCUGGAAAAAGAAUUUUCGUCUAAAAUAAUAAGUAAUACCAUUAAAAAAAAGAAAAAAACAAGAAAAAUUGAAAGCACUUAUUUGCGUACCGUGAUUCACUUUUGUCCUUCUCAGUGUCUCUCUUUGGUUUCGUACGUGGUCUAAAACUGUUGUCGGGUUUUGGUUUUAGACUUUAGUCACCGCUCGAGCUUUUAUUACCUCAUAUUUGUUUAUUUCGUGACAAAAAUCCAGGAUAUAUACCCUAGCUAGGACAACAGUUUCUAAAUGUAUUGAGCUUUGUAGGUGAAGAGAUUAGCAGUUGAUUUUGAAAUAGAGAGCGAACCAAAA
rnacentral:lncRNA from 1 species